rnacentral:RNase_P_RNA from 1 species
UAGGCGGGACGGACGGUCGCUGCUUAUUUUGAGUGGAGGAAAGUCCGGGCUCCAUCGGACACGAUGACGGAUAACGUCCGCCGAUCGAAAGGUCAGGGAAAGUGCAACAGAAAAUAAACCGCCGGUAUGCCGGUAAGGGUGAAAGGGGGAGGUAAGAGCUCACCGCGGUUCGGGCAACCGAACCGGCUAGGCAAACCCCAUCGGGAGCAAGGUCAAACAGGAUCGAGGUUGUCCGAACCGUUACCAGAUCCGGGUAGGCUGCUUGAGGAAUCGGGUAACCGGUUUCCCAGAUAAAUGACCGUCAUUCCGGUCAAUUUCGACCGGAAUACAAAACCCGGCUUAUAGUCCCGCCUUUUUU